rnacentral:lncRNA from 1 species
CAUCGUGCUCCGACAAGCAAGUGCACCCCCCCGAAGCGCCUCGCCCCAGCAGGGCAGCGAGACCCCCCGAAGCGCCUCGCCCCAGCGGGGCAGCGAGAUCCCCCAAAGCGCCUCCCCCCCGCGGGGCAGCGAAAUUCCCCGAAGCGCCUCGCCCCAGCGGGGCAGCGAGAUCCCCCGAAGCGCCUCGCCCCAGCGGGGCAGCGAAAUUCCCCGAAGUGCCUCGCCCCAGCGGGCAGCGAGAUCCCCCGAAGCGCCUUGCCCCAGCGGGGCAGCGAAAUCCCCCGAAGCGCCUCGCCUCAGCGGGGCAGCGAGAUCCCCCGAAGUGCCUCGCCCCAGCGGGGCAGCGAGAUCCCCCAAGGCGCCUCGCCCCAGCGAGCAGGACAACUUUCCCAAGGCAUCCUGCUCCGACGAGAGAGUGAGCCUCCUCUAAGUGCUUCAUCCCAGCGAGGGAAGGAGCUCUGCCAGGGCACCCUGCUCCGAAGGGGGAGUGCCCCCCCCCGAACUGCCGCACCUCAGCGAGAGAGUGAGCUCUUGCGCAGUGUCUUCCCCCAGCAAGGGCAUGAUCUCCCUCAAAGCGCCUCACUGCAGCGGGGGAGUGAGAUCCCCCGAAGCACCUCCCCCCAAACAGUAAUGGAACUGAGAAGUGGCAAAUGUUCGGUCCAGCCAGGGAAGUUGUCGGUGACAGCUAGCCACUUGCUGGUAACUGUGCAGCAGGGCCUCGGUGCCCAGAGGGUGGAAGCACACCAGAGAGCUAGCCACCUGCCAGAGACUGAACGGAACCAUGGAACAUCGACACAGGAUGGCAGACACGUUCACAGGCCUCCUGCCCUCCCAAAGAGCGACUCCUUGCAGACAGGAUCAAUCCCCAGGAGCUCACCGCAGCCAGAGGCUGCUUCAGCCAGCAACGAGACUCCUCAGCCACAGACCAAACGUGCUCGCAGAACCAUCCUCAAUCCAAAGGACCAAUCGACCCAGACUGAUCCCAUCUAUGCAGUCUCCUUUUCGCCAAGGACCGAAGUGACCCGCAGGGGCUCUCCCCAUCCCGACACUGAAG